GAUGAACGCUGGCGGCGUGCCUAAUACAUGCAAGUCGAGCGAACGGACGAGAAGCUUGCUUCUCUGAUGUUAGCGGCGGACGGGGGAGUAACACGUGGAUAACCUACCUAUAAGACUGGGAUAACUUCGGGAAACCGGAGCUAAUACCGGAUGAUAUUUUGAACCGCAUGGUUCAAAAGUGAAAGACGGUCUUUCUGUCACUUAUAGAUGGAUCCGCGCUGCAUUAGCUAGUUGGUAAGGUAACGGCUUACCAAGGCAACGAUGCAUAGCCGACCUGAGAGGGUGAUCGGCCACACUGGAACUGAGACACGGUCCAGACUCCUACGGGAGGCAGCAGUAGGGAAUCUUCCGCAAUGGGCGAAAGCCUGACGGAGCAACGCCGCGUGAGUGAUGAAGGUCUUCGGAUCGUAAAACUCUGUUAUUAGGGAAGAACAUAUGUGCAAGUAACUGUGCACAUCUUGACGGUACCUAAUCAGAAAGCCACGGCUAACUACGUG
rnacentral:rRNA from 1 species